rnacentral:rRNA from 1 species
AUUGAACGCUGGCGGCAUGCCUUACACAUGCAAGUCGAACGGCAGCACGGGAGCAAUCCUGGUGGCGAGUGGCGAACGGGUGAGUAAAGUAUCGGAACGUGCCCAGUCGUGGGGGAUAACGUAGCGAAAGUUACGCUAAUACCGCAUACAAUCUAUGGAUGAAAGCGGGGGAUCGCAAGACCUCGCGCGAUUGGAGCGGCCGAUAUCAGAUUAGGUAGUUGGUGGGGUAAAGGCUCACCAAGCCGACGAUCUGUAGCUGGGCUGAGAGGACGACCAGCCACACUGGGACUGAUACACAGCCCAGACUCCUACGGGAGGCAGCAGUGGGGAAUUUUGGACAAGGGGCGAAAGCCUGAUCCAGCCAUGCCGCGUGCAGGAUGAAGGCCUUCGGGUUGUAAACUGCUUUUGUACGGAACGAAAAGGUUUGGCCUAAUAAGCUGAGCUCAUGACGGUACCGUAAGAAUAAGCACCGGCUAACUACGUGCCAGCCGCGGCAGUAA